rnacentral:pre_miRNA from 1 species
UUAACUCAACUUUGUAUGGAGCUAGUACGUUUGCUUACGUUUGCCGCUAGGGGCGCUUUUCCAACUGUAUACAAAUUUGAGUUA